rnacentral:rRNA from 1 species
UACGUAGGGGGCUAGCGUUGUCCGGAAUCAUUGGGCGUAAAGCGCGCGUAGGCGGCCAGAUAAGUCCGGUGUGAAAGUCACAGGCUCAACCUGUGAAUGCCGCUGGAAACUGUCUGGCUAGAGUCCGGAAGGGGCGAGUGGAAUUCCUGGUGUAGCGGUGAAAUGCGCAGAUAUCAGGAAGAACACCAAUGGCGAAGGCAGCUCUCUGGGACGGUACUGACGCUGAGACGCGAAAGCGUGGGGAGCAAACAGG